GUAAUGGGAUGGAGGCAGGAUGAGCACAUAUUCCUGUUUGCCUGGGACAGUCUUGGUUUAUAGUUGUUGGGGGGGGGGAUUGGUUGUUUUUGUUGUUGUUGUUAUUGUUGUUGGCAUAAUUAUCAGUAGCUGUAUCUUUAAUUUCAAGAUUAUCUUUGAAUGAUGUAGUGGAUCAGAUCUCCUUCACUGGGCUGGGGCGCCUACCCCACAGUGGUCAUAAGGGCUGGUUGCUGAAAACUCACAGCCGGUCCUUCCCAGGAGAAAUGACCUCAGCUGAAUCAGGUUCAACAUUAUGGGGAGGUUAUGCUCCACUUUCCUAGACUCCAUCCCCAAGCAGCCAGAGUCUGAAAACUGACUAAUGAAGCCAGGUUGACUCCCUUGCUCAAGGGAGGAGCAGAGAGAGAGAUUGAACAGCAAGCAGACUCCAUGCCCAGCACAGAGCCUGACUCGGGAAUUCCAUCUCACGACCCUGAGAUCAUGACCUGAGCCGAAACCAAGAAUUGGAUGCUUAACCAACUGAGCCACCCAGUGGCCAAGGCUUCAGAAGAGGCACUUAGCCUUGAGGCAGGAUACUCCACGUGCCAGGAGCUGUCUUGUGAAUAGCGAGUGUCGCUGUGGGCUAGAUGAACAUGGAGAAGAAAGGAGAGAGCUGCCUGCACCGAACAAGAAACACAUUCGCCUGAUGCAGCAGUCCUGCACAGUCUCACUGAUCAUUUCAUUAGUGAGCCGAAUCACACUGAAGCUUUGAAUUCACACUAAACAUAUUACUGGCGGGCAAACCACAACCUAAUCUGUGUCCAGUAAGAGCAAAUCAAUAUUUUUCUCAGCAUCUAUAACUGAAUGACACGAAUGAAGUGAUUCUCACUACGGGUAAGGGGCUGGCUGUUUAGAUUCUUGGGAAUCUUGUCACACACAGCUAAUAGUGCUGAUGAUGGCCGAAAAAUGUAUUCCCCACACUGACCUUUAAUUGUCUUUGUUCUUUUCCAGUCCUCCUUCAUGUGUCCUCCUCCUUAUAUUUGGCUAUCAUUCUGUCGAUUCUUUUGUGUUCCUGAUUUUAGUUUGAUAGCGCAUUUGCGUCACAGUGGUUACAAGUGGUUGAGAACUCGGGGGAGCCUGCAGUCCAGCAGCCCUCUGGCCCCGUUGCCCUGAUCCCUGCUUCGCUGUCGCCAGACUAUCACCCAUUCUUGCCAACACCUCUGGUCACAGGGCUGGUGUGCCAUCACACAUGCAUGCCUAGCUGCUUCUCAGUCACAGACUCAUCAUAAGCUCUUUUGCAUGAUAUCUAUAACCACCCAAAUCUCACCACACUUUCCCCAAGGCGGUAUUUAUUCAUCUCAGAAAAAAAAAAAGAGGCAUUGAGACUAUUCUGGGACUUUUACUACAUGGACAAAUUUGGAAGGCAGUAAAAGCAUUUUAUUUGAAAUAACAAUCAAAAGCCAACUUGGAGCAUAGCAAGAUGGGAUUAGACCACCACAUAAUUAGCCUUACUGGAAUCGGUUCCAAGAAUGUAAGAAUUUACUGAGAGGCAGUAUAUUUUCUGGAACUAUAAUCAAAGGUGGAUGGGGAGGAUAGGCAAGUAAAGACAGCCAUUGGGAACUUGAACUUUCACCAUCUUGGUUAUAGUGUUUUCAAGUAUUAACUGUGCUUGGCAAGCAAAAAGCAGUUAAAAGUCCAAUAACCAAGUGUAAAUUUCACACAUCAAAAUGUCUUGGAAUAGUUCUAGACAAUACUUGGCAAUCAGCUUUGUAAAUGAGUUUUAAACAAGCACUCUUAAUGAUGAAACAAUAUAGCAGAACAAAUUGUGGUAAGAAAAGCAUGUUGUUGAUGUCAAAGAAGUCAGCCUAUUACGGUAAUGCUAACAACACAUUUUUUGUCCACACUGACUGUGGUCCUGGUCAUGGGCUAAUUUCUGGUGCCUGCUUUUAAAAUUAUCAUCCAGGGUGCAUGGAGAAAUGUGGAAACCUUAGGUGUGUUUAAAAAUUGACAAUUCAGUUAAACAAAAUCUCAGAAAUGUAGAACAUAACCUGAUAUAUUGACAUAUAUUAACAAGGGACAAAAUAGACAAUCAUCCUUUUAGUCAUUUAAAUGACACGUUAUUUUUUUUUUUUUAAAGAUUUUACUUAUUUACUUGACAGAGAGAGAGACAGCGAGAGCAGGAACACAAGCAGGGGGAGUGGGAGAGGAAGAAGCAGGCUUCCUGCCAAGCAGGGAGCCCGAUGUGGGGCUCGGUCCCAGGACCCUGGGAUCAUGACCUGAGCCGAAGGCAGACGCUUAACGACUGAGCCACCCAGGCGCCCUUAAAUGACACGUUAUUAACCCAAACAUCACUCUUCUUUUUGUGGCACUCUCCUUAGUGGACAUAGAUCAUUUUUUUAUUUUUGGUUAAUAGUUACAUACAUGCGUUUUAUUUUAUUUUAUUUUAUUAUUUAUUUAUUUAUUUUUAGAGAGAGUGAGUUGAGUGGGGCACCGUGAGAGGGUCAGAGGGAGAGAGAGAAUCGUAAGCAGGCUCCACACUCAGCAUGGACCCCAACGUGACUCAUGACUCAUGACACGGAGAUCAUGACCUGAGCUGAAAUCAAGAGUCGAGUACUUAACUGACUGAGGCACCCAGAUGCCCAUACAUGCAUGCAUUUUAAUUCAAAACAAUUAUUAUAUGAUUCUGAUCAACAUGUUUAUUCAGAAAAUAAAAAUUGCCAGUUCCUUUUAAGAUUUGAAACAAAAUUGGAUUUUUUCAUGACUGAAACAGUAUUUACUAUUUACACUUAAUUUUUUCAUAACACUGUAUUAGAUGGUACUGUGGAGCAUGGCAAAUAAUACAUUUUAUUCUCCUGAGAGUCCAAUACCACAUUUGGAAAGAAAAAAAUAUAUGCUAGUUAAAAUGAAAGUAACUAAGCAAUUAUUAUCAGUCAAAUUCAUAAUUUAGCUAGUAAUAAUUAGGGAAAUUCAAAUGAAGAAGAGUCAGUAGACAAGCCAGGCUGAGAAUUUAUGUUGAAAGGUCAUAUGAUGGUGAUAUUAAGAGAGAUGACUCUGGGACCAGACAGAUCUGGGCUCAAAGUCCAAGCUUUUCCCUUACUUAGCAUGUCUCAGCUCAUUAUUUUUUUUUUUCACCUGUAAAAUGGAGACAAUAACAAUCCUUAACUUUAUAAUAUUGCUGAGAGGAUUAGGUGGGGAAACUUAAUGUAGAAUGCUGGCACAUGGGAAUAAUUUCAUAAAUGUUUCAGUAAAAGGACAAGUAGAGGCUAGGGUUGCAAAAGAAGUGUGACACAUUGCAGGCAAAACAAUAAAAGGGGCCCUUUGACUAUAGUACAAUUAGAUACUGUAUAAACUAUAAGAGAUGUCCUCUAUAAAGAAUUUCUGAGCUUAUAAGAAGAAAGGGAAAUAUUUAAAAGCAGAGAAGAAAAUGAUGAAAAAAGAGGAGAAGGAGCUGAAAGGGAAGAAGGAAGAGAAACAGAAAAGGAGAAGGAGAUGCCUUACAAAGGAAUGACUUUAGGCUGACAAAAAUAUUGUCAAUGGCAUUGAGGGAAGCCAAAAGAAAAUAUAAUAAAAACUUCAACAUUUUGCUGCAAAGUAUACGUUAAUCUGACAUUGUGGCCUACAAAGAACUAUCAUCCUAGAAUUAAAAUAUAAUUAAGGGGCUCCUGGGUGGCUCAGUCAGUUAAGUGUCCAACACUCGAUUUCAGCUCAGGUCAUUGUCUCAGGUUUGUGAGAUUGAGCCCCAUGUGGGAUGCUGUGCUGAGUGUGGAGCCUGCUUAAGAUUCUCUCCCUCUCUCUCUGCCCCUCCCACCACCCCCCUAUUCACACUCUCUAAAGAAAGGAAGAAAGAAAUGAUAUAAUUAAGAUUUGUUUUCAGAUAAACACAUAAAUGAGAGAAUUAGCCACUACUACAGAAGGAUAUACCUUAAGAAAAAAAAUAAUAAUUGUCCCAGAAGGAAUAAGAAAGGUUUCUGAAAUGCAAGAAUGAAUGGCAAGCAAAGACAUUGUUUAAUAUGUAUGUAAAUCUAAAGCAACUGUGCCUUUAGAAUCAAUACCGUUGCUGCUUUUAUUACUUCUUAUUGUCACUAUUUUUAUUAAAGAGCAGAAGCUUUUAGAGGCAUAAACUGGUAGGAACACUUCAGGGGUAAUUUUGAUAAUUUUCUGAAGGCAGAUUAUGGACUAGCUUUAAAAUAAGGAAUCUCUAGGGGCUGCAGUCUUGGUUAGUCUGCUACACUUUCAUUGGUUUACCUUUAGUAAACUUACUAUAUUCUCAUGAUGGAGAUCCUGGAAAGAUACCCUCUAGGCUCUAGCAGGAAGAAGGGAAGUGUAAUCAUUGUGACACAAGUCUAGAUAAUUCUCCAUUUAAAAAGUCUAUUCUCUAAGGAAAAGAUUUUGCCAGAGCUUGACCCCAGCUCAAGACUAUUUCUGCCAUUCCGGCCCCUUCUAGAUUUCCUUUCUUAUGUAAGGAGGAGAAAAGCUGUAUCACUUGAGAAAUACUUGUGAAAUACAUAACACAACUAAACAAUGAAGAUUUAAUCAUAAGAUUAUAGAACGCUUCCAUUCUUCCACAACUGACCACCAUGUCAGUAGGGCUCUGGCAUUAUAACAGUGGAUAACAGCUAAAAGAACAAGACGCAGACUCCCUCAGAGGAGGAAUACUUAAAAGAACCCAGAGUCAAGAGGGGACACAAAAAGAAAGACAGUAGAGGAAAGUGAAGCCUCUGGCACUAUGGUAGUGUUAAAUGCAUCCCGACUCUUAGCCAGAUUAACAAAUUCUCACACUAAAGGCCUAUUUACUGUAGUUUCUGUUACUAACGCAAAAUGUUCGGUUUUCAUAAAAACUCCGAGGCAAGCCAAAAAGAAAAAAAUUUCAGAGCCUGAACAGACAAAGCAAGCACCAGAACCAUAUACUCAUUUAUGAGACUGAUACUGGAAUUCUCAUACUGACUACUUAAAUAGCUAUAGAUAAUUGUUAAGAGUUCCAAAAGAAAAAAGUAAACAAAAUGCAUGAACAAACAGAUAAUAUAAGCAGAAAUAUGGAAUAGCUCAGAAAUAAUCAAAGGGAAAUAACAGAAAUAAAAAAAUAUAACAGAAAUGAAAAAUGCUUUUUGAUCUGUAAACUGGAUAAUGCCAAGGAAAGAAUCAGUGAGUUUGAAGAUAUGUCAGUAGAAACUUCUCAAAUUGGAAUUCAAAGAUUUUUUUCUCUUUUUAAUUAUUUUUUGGAAUAAUAAUAAUAAAGAUAUUCAUCCAUCCAAAGAUAUAUCAAUAAAUGUAAAUGGUUACAUAUGCCAGCAGCAAGACAGAGAUCAUCAGAGUGGCCUAAAACAUAAGCCCCCACUAUAUUUUCUUCACAAGAAAACCAAUUUUAAAUAUAAAAUUCAGAUAACUUGGGGUGCCCGGGUGGCUCAGUCAUUAAGUGUCUGCCUUCAGCUCAGGUCAUGAUCCCAGGGUCCUAGGAUCAAGCCCCAUAUCGGGCUUCCUCCUUGGAGGGAAGCCUGCUUCUCCCUCUCCCACUCCCCCUGCUUGUAUUCCCUCUCUCGCUGUCUCUCUCUGUGUCAAAUAAAUAAAUAAAAUCUUUUUUAAAAAAUAAAAUAAAAAAAUAAAUAAAAUUCAGAUAACUUAAAAGUAAAGGCAUGGAGAAAAAUAUACCAUGGUAACAUUAAUCAAAAGAAAACUGGAGUAGCUAUAUUAAUUUCAAGCAAAGCAGAAUUCAGAACAACAAAAAUUACCAUGGAUUAAAUAAUCCUAGGAUUAUUUAUUUUUUGGAUUAAAUAAUCUUAAGCGGAAUAAUUCUCCAAGAAGACCUAAAAAACCUAAAUAUGAAUGCAUCUAACAACAGAGCAUUAAAUACAUGAAGCAAAGACUGAUAGAGAACUCAAAACAGAUAGAACUGAAAAGAGAAAUAGAUGAUGGACCAGUCCACUAUUACUUUUGGAGACUUCACCCUCCAUCUUUCAUUAAUUGAUAAAUCAAACAGGCAUAAAAUCAGUAAGGAUAUAGUUGACAUGAACAGCUUGGUAUAAUUGAUACUUAUAAACUAUUCUGUCCAACAACAGCAAAGUAUAUAUUCUUCUCACGUUCACAUGGAACAUUCACCAAGAGACCACGUUCAUAGCCAUCAAACAGCUUUAACAAACUUAAAAGAAAUCACAUAAAGUAUGUUCUCAGACCACAGGGAUUAAAUUAGAAAUCAAUUACGGAAAGGUCGACAGAAAAUAUCCACAAAUAUUUUUAAUUAAGCAACACUCUUAUAAAUAACACAGGUCAAAUAAGAAGUCUUAAAAUUAUAAAUUUUUUGAACUAAAUGAAAAUAAAAACAUAACAUCAAAAUUUGUGAGAUGCAGCAAAAACAGUGCCAAGAGGGAAGUUUACAACAUUAAAUACAUCAAUUAGAAAAGAAGAAAGAUCUAAAGUAAAUAACCUAAGUUUCCAUCUUACAAAAGAAGAGACAGAAGAUGAAUUUAGAUGUAAAGAAAGCAGAAGAAAAUAAUAAAAAUUGAAGCAGAAAUCAAUAAAAUUAAAAACAAAAUGAUAAACUCAACAAAAUCGAAAGAUGGUUCUUUAAAAGAUCAAUAAAAUUGAUAAAUCUCUAGACAGGUUAAUAAAAAAUAGAAAAGAGACAAAUUACUAAUAUAAGAAAGAGGGCCAAGUCUGCUGGGUGGCUCAGUCGGUUAAGCAUUGACUCUUGAUUUUGGCUCAGGUCAUGAUCUCAGGGUCAUAAGAUGGAACCAUGUGGGGCUCUGUGCUAAGCGUGGAAACUGCUUAUGAUUCUCUCUCUCCUCCCCCUGUCCUUCCCUGCUUGCACUCUCUCUCUCUCAAGAAGAAAAAAAUAAGAAGAGGAAAGAGGUCCUAUCUCUACUGAUCCUAUGACAUUAAAAGGAUAACACGAGAAUAUUAUGAACAACUCUAUGCCCACACAUUUUAUAACCUAGAUGAAAUGGACCAAUUCCUCAAAAGACACAAUCUACCUAAAACCCAUACAAGGAGAAGCUGACAAUCUGAAUAGGCUUAUAUGUAUUAAAGAAAUUUAUUAAAGUAACUAAUAACCUACCAAAGCUGAAAGAAACAGGCCCAGAUGGGUUUACUGCUAAAAUCUACCAGAUAUUUAAAGAAGAUUACAUACCAAAUCUCUAUAAUCCUUUUCAACAGAUAGCAGCAGAGGGAGUGCUUCCCAACUCAUUCUAUGAGACCAGCAUUAUUAUUAUUUUAUUUAUUUAUUUAUUUAUUUAUUUAUUUAUUUAUUUAUUUAUUUAUUUCUGAGAGAGAGAGAGAGUGGGGAGAGGGGCAGAGGGAGAAGGAGAGAGAGAAUUUUAAGCCGACCCCAUGCUCAGCAGGAAGCCCGAUGUGGGGCUCAAUCUCACGACCCUGAGAUCAUGACCCGAGCCGAAACCAAGAGUCAGGCACUUAACCAACUGAGCCACCCAGGUGCUCCAAGAGAUCAGCAUUAUUUUUAUGCCAAAGUCAGAUAAAAACAUUACAAUAAAGGAAACUACAGACCAAUGUCUCUCAAGAACGUUAGAUGCAAAAUCCUCACAAAAACAUUAGCAAAUCAAUCAAACAGUAAAUGAAAAAAUUGUACACCAAACCAAGGUAUUCCAGGUAUGCAAGGCCAGCUCAAUAUCUAAAAAAAUUAAUGGAAUCUACUACCUAAAUAGUCUUAAAAAAUCAUGUGAUUGUAGCAACUGAUGCAGAAAAAGAAGCUGACAAAAUUCAACACCUAUAAAUGAUAAAAUCUCUCAGAAAACUAAGAACAGAGAACUUUCUCAACCUUAUGAGGAACAUCUACAAAAGAAUUAGAGCUAACAUCAUACUUAAUGGCGAGAAACAGGAUGCUUUCCCGCUAACAUUAGGAUGAAGACAAGUAUGUCCUCUCUUACUACUCCUAUUAAGUAAUAUUGUGGAAGUCCUAGCUAGUGCAAUAAGGUAAUAAAAGGAAAUAAAAUGUAUACGAAUUGGAAAGGAAGAAAAGAACUUUGUUCUUUUCCAUGUGAACUUGAGAAGAAUAUAUACUUUGUCUUUGUUCACAGAUGACAUAAUUGCCUAUGCAGGAAAUGCCAAAGAAUCAACAAAAAACUUCCUGGAACUAAUAAGCAGAAAUAGUGACAUCAUGGGGUAAAAGAUUAAUAUGUAAUAGUUAUUUUUGCUCUCCUAGGUACUAGUAAUAAACAAUUGGAAUCUUAAAUUAGAAACAUACCAUUUACAAUAGUAACAAAAAAACACAAGAAAAGAAAUACUUUGUUACCAGUUUAACAAAAUAUGCACAGGAUCUAUAUGUGGAAAAUUACAAAACUCUAAGGAAAACAAUCAAAGAUGUAAAUAAAUGGAGAGAUAUAGUGUAUUUAUGGUUGGAAUAUCAGUGUCAUCAAGAUGUUAAUUCUUCCUAACUUCAUCUAUAAAUUCAGUGUGGUGUCCUGGUAAGUGAGGAUGGGCAAUAUGGAGCUGCAAGCAAAAAUCCAGGCCAAUAAAGAGGGAGCUGCUUCCUUGGUCCGUCCAGGCUCCUACCAGAAUCUCAGCUAUUUUCAUGUUACUAUUUCAUUGCAAAGGAGUGAGAAAAUUAAAUCCAAAGAAAGAUUAGAAAGAUAAGACAAAGUAAAAGAAAAGCUGUUCUCAAAGCAUUUCCAGGCUGCCUGGAAUGGAGCCCCUCAGACAUAGGAAGAGGCUUAUCACCCACCAGCUGCAUGGCAGACAAAUAACUAAAAAAAAAGUUGCAUCCCAGUAAAUGCUGGCCCCCCAAGAAGACUAGAAUUCUUUGACUUCCAAAGCUUCAUCCUUUUUUUUUUUUUUAAUUAUUAUUUAAGAG